UACGAAGGGGGCGAGCGUUGUUCGGAUUUACUGGGCGUAAAGGGCGCGCAGGCGGCUCAUUUUGUCAGGCGUGAAAGCCCCCGGCUCAACUGGGGAGGGUCACGCGAUACUGAUCGACUCGAAGGCAGGAGAGGGUAGUGGAAUUCCCGGUGUAGUGGUGAAAUGCGUAGAUAUCGGGAGGAACACCAGUGGCGAAGGCGACUACCUGGCCUGUUCUUGACGCUGAGGCGCGAAAGCUAGGGGAGCAAACGGGG
rnacentral:rRNA from 1 species